AUGGACAUUUAGUAAGACGUUUUCACUUGGUAUGAAGCAAUGUUACAAAUGAAUUAACUAUAUUUAUCAUUGAAAGAGGAUCAGAAUAAAGUCUGGAAAAACAAUUUGUUAAAAUGUGAAAAAUCCAAAAGAUCUCUAGAAAGAAUAAUAACGGAUCUGAGUCACAAUCGUGCAGAGAAUUGACAAAAUAUUUUCAAAAAAGUAUCCUGUUAAUUGAAUUGGCCAAUAAUUGAUGCUCAGCAAUCUGUUACAUUAUUUAAAAACAAAAGAUGAUGACGUCGAUCCAGAAAUGUAUUAUUAUGCACUGGAUUAUUAUUAAGGAAAUGAACGCAACAGAGGAAUAUUCUGAUGGAAUACAUGGAACGAAACAGAUGGAAUCAUUGUGCAAUAGAUUCGACUGGCUUUCAAUUGGUCCUCAACGAGAAUAUCGCCACUAUAAGAUCAUGCCUCAACACCGUUCAAACCUCUAUGAUUACUGGAUUUUCAUUGAACAGGAACGUGGUUGUUAUUCGUAUGAAAUUAGAAAAGAAAAAUAUCUCAGGAUUCAGGAAUAUCCAUAUGUAUUCGUCACUUAGUCAAUAGUUUCUCUAUCGAAAGAUUCAUCAUACAUGCAAAGAUUGAGAAAAGAAAGAGAACUAUUCAAGAGAUCAUCGGAAUCAUCUUAAGGGACACUGAAGAACAUAACUGCAGUAAAUAUGUAGAGAUGAAAAGAGAGUAAAUUUAUCCUAUCAAAUUUGGUAGCCUAAUAACAAUCCUAAAGGAGAAGAAAAGCAGUUUAUUAUAAAUGAUGCUUAAGAAGAAUUGUCACUGAAGGUUGUGUGAAAACCAAUGGUAAGAAAGCUCAUGUUUGUCAAUUGUCAUGGAAUUUUGUUUCAUCGAUUAUACGAAAUAUAUUUUCUAUUAAUUGAAUGUGGAAAUUGGUUUGUUUCAUGGUGAUAGAAUGAUCGUUGAAAGAAGAAUAAGAUUUGAACCACGUUCUUGUAUCAAUCUUGCUGUGGCAAUUUAUUCUCACACCUAUUUUUAUCUAUUUAAUGAACCAAUUUAGCGAUAGACGCUUUGGUAAGUAAAUGUAUCGUCGAGCAGUGAAAAUAUGUAGAUAUCUGAAAAACAAAAUAAUCAUUAUAGGGAUUCAUCAGUUAAAGUUUCUGUAUUUCCAGUUUUCAAGUUUUUUUUAUGGAAAAGAACAAAAAAUCCAUAUGCUAAAGCAUCAUCGAAGAUUUGAGAGAUUGAUAUCCAUAAUAACGAUAUUAGGAAGCGUUAAGCAAAGCAUUGGCUUAUUUGAUAUUUUUAUUUGACAUUAAGUUGAACGAUUGGAACGAAUAAGUGAUUAAAUUUAUUGCUAUACUAGUGUCAAGUUUUUCAUUAACUAAUUAUUUAUCAUGUUCUGAACAAAAGCUCGAUCACUGAA